rnacentral:rRNA from 1 species
AGCAGCCGCGGUAAUUCCAGCUCCAAUAGCGUAUAUUAAAGUUGUUGCAGUUAAAAAGCUCGUAGUUGAAUUUUGGGUCUGGCCGGGCGGUCCACCUUUCGGUGAGCACUGUUCCGAUGUCGGGCCUAUCCUUCUGGUGAGACGGCAUGCCCUUCACUGGGUGUGUCGGGGAACCAGGACCAUUACCUUGAAAAAAUUAGAGUGUUCAAAGCAGGCGUUUGCUCGAAUACAUUAGCAUGGAAUAAUGAAAUAGGACGCGUGGUACUAUUUUGUUGGUUUCUAGGACCGCCGUAAUGAUUAAUAGGGAUAGUUGGG